CAAAAAAAAAAAAGAAUGGGGGUAGAAAAGGGAAGGAAGGAAAGACACUUUCUUUCUUCCCCAGACGUCCUGGAUCUCCCGCCGUAGACGAGUGGCCGGCCGGCCGCCUGUCUGCCUUGGCGCCGGAGACGGGAGCGGAGCACCGCCGGCGACCCGGGAGGAGGAGGUCGCGCGCAUCUUCCUCAGCGUUGCCGUCGUCCCGGCGCCACUGAGGCACGCGCCGCGGAGCCUGAGGAAGCGCCGGCCGAUUGGUAAAAUUCAGACUUCUUUUCAUCAACGGGUGCAAAUUGCUUCAAACACCGGAGAAUAUGUUAAUUUGACAGAAGAGCUUCUCUGGAACUGUGCAAUUAUUGAGUGGCAGAUAGGAGAUAUAUAUGCUCAAAAGCAAUGGAAACUUGUAAUCAGCAUCAGAAGAGAUGGACAAAGAGCAUAUGAAGAAGGCUAUCCUGGAGCAAGAACAAGCAUUCAGAUAACAGUUCAGGGGUGGGGUUUGCUUUGCUUUGAUUUGAUAUAUCGCCGGCCAUGAGGAACUGCUUUGUGUCAUUGACGGGAACUGCGACGACGGUGCCCUCGACCUCUCAGUGCGAGGGCAAGAUCCUCCAGUCAGAAGAUUUCAGGCGCUUCGCCUUCAAGGAGCUCAAGAGGGCCACCAUGAACUUCUGGCCGGAUGGCUUGCUCAGUGACGGCCACUUUGGGUCAGUGCACAAAGGCUGGGUGAACGAGGCUACCUUCGCCCCGGCCAGCUGGGGCACCGGCAUGCCCAUCACCGUCAAGAAGCUCAACCAGGGAAGCGUCCAGGGCCACAUGGAAUGGCUGGUCGGUGCUUCUCAGUACCAAUCAAUCCCAAUUCAUUCAUCUCUUCAAUUCUGCAUAUAUGCUGAAGUGAAAUACCUUGGCCAAUUGUCGCACCCCAAUCUGGUGAAGCUCCUAGGCUACUGCAACGAAGACCGUUCUCAGUGUCUUCUUGUCUACGAGUUCAUGCCACAGGGGAGCUUGGAGAACCAUCUUGUCAGGAGGGGCUUACAUUUCCAGCCACUGUCAUGGCAUCUGAGGAUGAAGGUAGCUCUUGGGGCAGCCAAGGGGCUCGCGUUUCUCCAUAGCGGCAAUGUCCCUGUCAUCCAACAUGAAUUCAAUACAUCAAAUGUUCUUCUCGAUUCCAGCUACAAUGCAAAGCUGUCUGAUUUUGGGUUGGCGAGGAUGGAACCGAUGGAUGAUCUGAGCACAGAUGUACAUGCAGCCCCUGAAUAUGUUGAUACAGGGCAUCUGACGAUGAAGAGCGACGUAUACAGCUUCGGUGUGGUGCUGCUGGAGAUUCUAGCAGGCCGGCCAGCCCUAGACAAGAACCGGCCCUCCAUCGAGCAUAACCUGGUGGAAUGGGCGCGGCAGUACCUGACGAGCGAGCGCCGCAUCUCUCACAUCAUGGACGCGCAGCUCGGCGGCCAGUACUCCCUCGCCUGUGCGCAUAAGGCUGCCACACUGGUGCUCCAAUGCAUCUCGGUCCACCCAAGAGACCGACCGGGCAUGGAGCAGGUGGUGGCGGCACUGGAGCAGCUCCAGGACGCCAAUGAGACUGGGGCGAGCGGUCAGAGUGAUGUACGGCUGGGUAUGGAGCAGGUGGUGGCGGUGCUGGGGCAGCAGCUUCAGGACGACAAGGAGACCGUGGCAAGCGGUCAGCAGAAGGUGAGUGGUGGUGGUGGCGGUGCCUGUGGCUUCUUCAGGAUGUGUGGCGGUGGCCGGCAGUAGCAGCCAGUGGCGAGGCGGCUGCGCGCCAAUGAGCAGAGAUGAAUUCACUGUAGAGGGAUGAUUUCGUCUCUCAGAGUCAAAUGAGCCAGCGACCAGACUAGCUUGCGUUGUUCGCUUCCAGGUCAUGGAUUCAGAGUCUAGUUUGCAGCGGCACUCACUCAUGGGUCAUGGCAGCAUUUGCAUCUCUGCCGCCUUCAAACCGGCCAUUCUCCAAGCAAUGACAUCAUCCUUCACCCUCUGGGCAACAUGCUGGGGUGUUGCACAUUUGCUAUUGAAGACUCUGCUUUUUGCUGGAGAAACGAGCCUGAUGAGAGAGUGCUAGAAUUUCCUCAGGUUGUUGCUGGUAGGGAUGCAUUCUGGGGGGAAACUGAAGUGUGCGACCGCCAACGUCCAAACAGUUCGGGCGAAGGUGCAAUCGACAAAGGGAUACCUGACUGAUUCAGGAUGCUAUCGGCAAAGCUGCCAGAUUGGGUUAUUAGGCCAUCCCAGCAUGCCAUCUUCUCCCCUUCGAACCAUUGCUCCCCAUGGAUGACACCCAUGUGUGACCUCGUCGUCAUUGGCCGUCCCUUUCAAGAGUUCAGACACACAUGAUUCAGUAGAGGUUCCCAGUGGGGAUGUUUUUGACGAAACAUCUCAAGUGAGCUGGAUAAGAAAUGCCUUAUUUAUCUGGCCUGCUGCUUUCACGGCUUAAAAAUUGGACGUGGAUAACUGCCACACGUGUGGCAGGAAGGGAGGCGCACCACACUCUCUAAAGCAAACAGAUUGCCACGUCAUCGCAUGCAUGCAUGUAAGAAUCUUUUUGGAUUUUCAGUUUUUAAAAUGUUUUAUCUCUCAAAUGAAAAAUCCGAUUGAAGAUCUGUUUUCACCAUUAAAUCCAUCGCGACGAGAUCUUCGAAACUAAAUCUCAUAUCAAUAUGUUUCGACUUUUUUUUAAGGUUGAAAGUUGCCAUGUCUAUUGCACAUGAAUUGCCAUGAUGUUUACACUGAAGUUGCCAUGAUAUGUUCCAGCUAUUUUUUUCUACAUUUAAAAGUAAAUUUUGACAUAUUAUAAAAUGGGAAAUUAAGAAACUAGACUUGCUAUGAACCAUAAAGUAAAUUUUCCAUGAUACAUGCACUUAAAAUUGCCAUAGUUCAUAAAAAUAUAAUUUUCAUGAUCAAAGUACUGGAAUUGCCAUAGUCAAAAUACUAAAAUUGUCAUGCUCUAUAAACUAAAAUUGCCACAUGGCAACUUUAGUGUAACACUAUGGCAAGUACAGUGUAGACAUCAUGGCAAUUUUUGGCAAAAAAAAAAAUCGUCGAAACAUAUCAACAUGAGAUCUAGUUUUGAAGAUCUCGUCGAGACGGAUUUAAUGGUGAAAACGGAUUUUUAGUUGGAUUUUUUAAUUAGGAGAUAAAACAUUUUUAAGCCGAAAACCAAAAAGAUUUCCGCUGAUGUCAUCUGUUUUGAUGUGGCAAAAUGAAUAGUACUGCAGGCGUUUGGAUCAUGUUGCUUCGUGCCACAUGUGUGGGCGUUAACAUUUGCCUAAAAAUUUAGACAAGUUGUAGUUCAAGUGCUCAAGUAGUAUAGGAGUAGCACAGAACUUAGUAUAGGAGUAGCACAGAACUGCAGCUCCACAUCUUUGUAAACAUCCUGAAGCAAGUAACAAUCCACCAGACUGCCAUUUAUCAAUUUGGAAUGAUAGCCUUUUCAAUGCAAGUGGAGCUCUCCCUUGCAGGCCAUCAUGGAUUCUGCAACCUUGGCAAUAUAAUAGCCCAUUAGCUCUCCCAUAGUGUGCAAACAGAAUCACUACAUUUGAUUCUAGUGCUAAAGUUUGACAAAGUUUAUAGAAAAAUAUAUAACCAUCUACAAUAUUAAAAUAGUUUCAUUUGAUCCGUCAUGAAAUAUAUUUCCAUAGAUGUUAUCAAAUAUUGGCACAUUUUUUUCUGUAGACUUUGUGCAAAUUGACUUAACCUCAAUCAAUUUGGAAUGGAGUGAGUAUAUCCAACUACCUUUUAACUUUCUUGUAUAAAUAGCAAGUGAUAAAUAGUAAUAUUAAUGCUGACUGAGCAAACAACCCGUGCAGGAUAACCAACCAGUUCAGUUCCCAUUCCAUGAAUUGAUUCAUUCAUUUUUAUUUUAUUUUGCAUAUUACUAGUUCUUUUCAGCUCAUUUCCAAUCAGCGAGGCGGCAGAAUCCUCAAAACAAAAACUUCACUAAUCAUAUCCCUUCUGUAUAAA